rnacentral:rRNA from 1 species
CCUACGGGGGGCUGCAGUGGGGAAUAUUGCACAAUGGGGGGAAACCCUGAUGCAGCAACGCCGCGUGAGCGAUGAAGGCCUUCGGGUCGUAAAGCUCUGUCCUAAGGGAAGAAUACUGACGGUACCUUAGGAGGAAGCCCUGGCUAACUACGUGCCAGCAGCCGCGGUAAUACGUAGGGGGCUCGCGUUAUCCGGAAUUACUGGGCGUAAAGGGUGCGUAGGCGGCCCUUCAAGACAGAGGUGAAAGGCUACGGCUCAACCGUAGUAAGCCUUUGAAACUGUAGUGCUUGAGUGCAGGAGAGGAGAGGGGACUUCCCAGUGUUGCGCUGAUAUGCGUUGAUAUGGGGUGGGACAGGAGUUGCGAAGGCGGCUGUCUGGAAUGUAAUUGACGCUGUGGCUCGAAAGCGUGGGGAGCGAACAGGAUUAGAUACCCUUGUAGUC